UUGGCCUUUACAUUCAAUGACACAGUUGGGGCCGUUCGUCCAUUCCUCAACAAGCAUCUGCUGAAGGCCUGGUGAGAGCCAGGAACCAGCUGUGGAGCGGGGUGGGCGUGCCCAGGAACCAUCAUAAUCAUUUUGAAAAGCACCAAGAGGAGAGCUGCCAACCAUCGACACCUGCUCCCCAGCAGAACUGAGAAGGUUUCUCUGCAGCCCCCUCCCUUUCAGCAAUGACAUCUCCCCUCGCAGAGAGCAAGCCCAUGAUGUUGUCCUCAUCUGGAAGAUCCCAGCCUAUCCUGCCUGAAAACAGCCCAUUGAGAACAAAGGUGACUGUACUGCCUGCCAUCCUCAGAUAAAGAAGUGUGCUACUAA